rnacentral:rRNA from 1 species
AUUGAACGCUGGCGGCAGGCCUAACACAUGCAAGUCGAGCGACAGGCGGACGGGUGAGUAAUGUAGGGGGAUCUGCCCGAUAGAGGGGGAUAACUACUGGAAACGUUGGCUAAUACCGCAUACUAGCGGCUGUAACCAUAGGGGAUUAGCUAGUAAGUGGGGUAAAGGCUCACCUAGGCCACGAUCUCUAGCUGGUCUGAGAGGAUGAUCAGCCACACUGGGACUGAGACACGGCCCAGAAUCCUACGGGAGGCAGCAGUGGGGAAUAUUGCCCAAUGGGCGCAAGCCUGAUGCAGCCAUGCCGCGUGUAUGAAGAAGGCCUUAGGGUUGUAAAGUACUUUCAGCGGGGAGGCGUUACCCGCAGAAGAAGCACCGGCUAACUCCGUGCCAGCAGCCGCGGUAAUUC